GUACCCCGAGGAAAAGAAAUCAACCGAGAUUCCGAAAGUAGCGGCGAGCGAAAUUGGACUAGCCCUUAAGCUUUACACGUGUUAGACGAACGGUCUGGAAAGUCCGACGAUACAGGGUGAUAGUCCCGUAGUUGACGACGUGUGUUCAGUGAAAUCGAGUAGGGCGGGACACGUGAUAUCCUGUCUGAAUAGUGGGGGGACCAUCCUCCAAGGCUAAAUACUACUGACUGACCGAUAGUGAACCAGUACCGUGAGGGAAAGGCGAAAAGAACCCCUGUGAGGGGAGUGAAAUAGAACCUGAAACCGUGUACGUACAAGCAGUAGGAGCAGGUCUUUGUCCUGUGACUGCGUUACCUUUUGUAUAAGUGGGUCAGCGACUUAUAUUCAGUGGCAAGGUUAACCAUCUAGGGGAGCCGUAGGGAAACCGAGUCUUAACUGGGCGUUCAGUCUCUGGAUAUAGACCCGAAACCAGGUGAUCUAGCCAUGGGCAGGUUGAAGGUUGAGUAACAUCAACUGGAGGACCGAACCGACUAAUGUUGAAAAAUUAGCGGAUGACUUGUGGCUAGGGGUGAAAGGCCAAUCAAACCUGGAGAUAGCUGGUUCUCCCCGAAAGCUAUUUAGGUAGCGCCUCGGACGAAUACUACUGGGGGUAGAGCACUGUUAAGGCUAGGGGGUCAUCCCGACUUACCAACCCUUUGCAAACUCCGAAUACCAGUAAGUACUAUCCGGGAGACACACGGCGGGUGCUAACGUCCGUCGUGGAGAGGGAAACAACCCAGACCGCCAGCUAAGGUCCCAAAUUACUACUAAGUGGGAAACGAUGUGGGAAGGCUCAGACAGCCAGGAUGUUGGCUUAGAAGCAGCCAUCAUUUAAAGAAAGCGUAAUAGCUCACUGGUCGAGUCGGCCUGCGCGGAAGAUGUAACGGGGCUAAGUAGUAAACCGAAGCUGCGGCAAUGUGCUUUUGCACAUUGGGUAGGGGAGCGUUCUGUAAGCGGUUGAAGGUGUGUGGUAACGCAUGCUGGACGUAUCAGAAGUGCGAAUGCUGACAUGAGUAACGAUAAAGGGGGUGAAAAACCUCCUCGCCGGAAGACCAAGGGUUCCUGUCCAACGUUAAUCGGGGCAGGGUAAGUCGACCCCUAAGGCGAGGCCGAAAGGCGUAGUCGAUGGGAAACGGGUUAAUAUUCCCGUACUUCUUACAAUUGCGAUGGGGGGACGGAGAAGGCUAGGUGGGCCUGGCGACGGUUGUCCAGGUUCAAGUGCGUAGGCUUGAGAGUUAGGUAAAUCCGGCUCUUUUUAAGGCUGAGACACGACGUCGAGCCACUACGGUGGUGAAGUCAUUGAUGCCAUGCUUCCAGGAAAAGCCUCUAAGCUUCAGAUUGUAAGGAAUCGUACCCCAAACCGACACAGGUGGUCGGGUAGAGAAUACCAAGGCGCUUGAGAGAACUCGGGUGAAGGAACUAGGCAAAAUGGUACCGUAACUUCGGGAGAAGGUACGCUCUCGACGGUGAAGUCCCUCGCGGAUGGAGCUAUUGAGAGUCGCAGAUACCAGGUGGCUGCAACUGUUUAUUAAAAACACAGCACUGUGCAAAAUCGUAAGAUGACGUAUACGGUGUGACGCCUGCCCGGUGCCGGAAGGUUAAUUGAUGGGGUUAGACUUCGGUCGAAGCUCUUGAUCGAAGCCCCGGUAAACGGCGGCCGUAACUAUAACGGUCCUAAGGUAGCGAAAUUCCUUGUCGGGUAAGUUCCGACCUGCACGAAUGGCGUAAUGAUGGCCACGCUGUCUCCACCCGAGACUCAGUGAAAUUGAAAUCGCUGUGAAGAUGCAGUGUACCCGCGGCUAGACGGAAAGACCCCGUGAACCUUUACUACAGCUUGGCACUGAACAUUGACCCUACAUGUGUAGGAUAGGUGGGAGGCUUUGAAGCACGUACGCCAGUAUGUGUGGAGCCGUCCUUGAAAUACCACCCUUGUAGUGUUGAUGUUCUAACGUCGACCCCUUAUCGGGGUUGCGGACAGUGCCUGGUGGGUAGUUUGACUGGGGCGGUCUCCUCCCAAAGAGUAACGGAGGAGCACGAAGGUGGGCUAAUCACGGUUGGACAUCGUGAGGUUAGUGCAAUGGCAUAAGCCCGCUUGACUGCGAGAAUGACAAUUCGAGCAGGUGCGAAAGCAGGUCAUAGUGAUCCGGUGGUUCUGAAUGGAAGGGCCAUCGCUCAACGGAUAAAAGGUACUCCGGGGAUAACAGGCUGAUACUGCCCAAGAGUUCAUAUCGACGGCGGUGUUUGGCACCUCGAUGUCGGCUCAUCACAUCCUGGGGCUGAAGUCGGUCCCAAGGGUAUGGCUGUUCGCCAUUUAAAGUGGUACGCGAGCUGGGUUUAGAACGUCGUGAGACAGUUCGGUCCCUAUCUGCCGUGGGCGUUGGAAGAUUGAAGGGGGCUGCUCCUAGUACGAGAGGACCGGAGUGGACGAACCUCUGGUGUUCGGGUUGUGUCGCCAGACGCAUUGCCCGGUAGCUAAGUUCGGAAUCGAUAACCGCUGAAAGCAUCUAAGCGGGAAGCGAGCCCUGAGAUGAGUCUUCCCUGAUACUUUAAGUAUCCUAAAGGGUUGUCGGAGACUACGACGUUGAUAGGUCAGGUGUGUAAGUGCUGUGAGGCAUUGAGCUAACUGAUACUAAUUGCCCGUGAGGCUUAACCAUACAACACCCAAGGGGUUU
rnacentral:rRNA from 1 species